rnacentral:rRNA from 1 species
UCUGGCUCAGGACGAACGCUGGCGGCGCGCCUAACACAUGCAAGUCGAACGAGCGAGAGAGAGCUUGCUUUCUCAAGCGAGUGGCGAACGGGUGAGUAACGCGUGAGGAACCUGCCUCAAAGAGGGGGACAACAGUUGGAAACGACUGCUAAUACCGCAUAAGCCCACGGCUCGGCAUCGAGCAGAGGGAAAAGGAGCAAUCCGCUUUGAGAUGGCCUCGCGUCCGAUUAGCUAGUUGGUGAGGUAAUGGCCCGCCAAGGCGACGAUCGGUAGCCGGACUGAGAGGUUGAACGGCCACAUUGGGACUGAGACACGGCCCAGACU